GACGAACGCUGGCGGCGUGCCUAAUACAUGCAAGUAGAACGCACAGUUUAUACCGUAGCUUGCUACACCAUAGACUGUGAGUUGCGAACGGGUGAGUAACGCGUAGGUAACCUGCCUGGUAGCGGGGGAUAACUAUUGGAAACGAUAGCUAAUACCGCAUAAUAUUGAUUAUUGCAUGAUAAUUAAUUGAAAGGUGCAAUUGCACCACUACCAGAUGGACCUGCGUUGUAUUAGCUAGUAGGUGAGGUAACGGCUCACCUAGGCGACGAUACAUAGCCGACCUGAGAGGGUGAUCGGCCACACUGGGACUGAGACACGGCCCAGACUCCUACGGGAGGCAGCAGUAGGGAAUCUUCGGCAAUGGACGAAAGUCUGACCGAGCAACGCCGCGUGAGUGAAGAAGGUUUUCGGAUCGUAAAGCUCUGUUGUAAGAGAAGAACGGGUGUGAGAGUGGAAAGUUCACACUGUGACGGUAUCUUACCAGAAAGGGACGGCUAACUGCGUG
rnacentral:rRNA from 1 species